rnacentral:rRNA from 1 species
GCCUACGGGAGGCAGCAGUAGGGAAUCUUCCACAAUGGGCGAAAGCCUGAUGGAGCAACGCCGCGUGGGUGAAGAAGGUCUUCGGAUCGUAAAACCCUGUUGUUAGAGAAGAAAGUGCGUGAGAGUAACUGUUCACGUUUCGACGGUACCUAACCAGAAAGCCACGGCUAACUACGUGCCAGCAGCCGCGGUAAUACGUAGGUGGCAGGCGUUAUCCGGAUUUAUUGGGCGUAAAGGGAACGCAGGCGGUCUUUUAAGUCUGAUGUGAAAGCCUUCGGCUUAACCGGAGUAGUGCAUUGGAAACU